rnacentral:rRNA from 1 species
AGAGCAUACGGUGGAUGCCUUGGCGAUAUCUGCCGACGAAGGACGCGACAAGCUGCGAAAAGCUGCGGAGAGGUGCAAAUGACCAUUGACCCGCAGAUCUCCGAAUGGAGCAAUCCGGCAGGGUUUAUCCCCUGUCACCCAUAUCUACGAAUAUGGGAGGGAACCGGGCGAACUGAAACAUCUAAGUAGCCGGAGGAAGAGAAAGAAACAUCGAUUCCGGAAGUAGCGGCGAGCGAACCCGGAAGAGCCCAAACCAGCGUGCGUGCAUGCUGGGGUUCGGACCGCGGAAUUGAUUCAACAAGUUUAGCAGAACGGUUUUGGGAAAGCCGGCCAGAGAGGGUGAAAGCCCCGUAAGCGAAAGACGAGUUGACAUGGCGGGAUCCAGAGUACCACGAGACACGUGGAACCUUGUGGGAAGAUGCGGGGACCACCCCGUAAGGCUAAAUACUACUUAGUGACCGAUAGCGCAUAGUACUGUGAAGGAAAGGUGAAAAGGACCCCGGGAGGGGAGUGAAAGAGAACCUGAAACCCUGUGUUUACAAGCUGUGGAAGUAUCGAAAGGGUACAACCGCGUACUUUUUGUAGAACGGUCCGGCGAGUUACGCUGGCUGGCGAGGUUAAGGACUAAAGGUCCGGAGCCGAAGGGAAACCAAGUCUGAACAGGGCGCAUAGUCAGUCGGAGUAGACCCGAAACCGGGUGAUCUAUCCAUGUCCAGGUUGAAGUUGCCGUAAAAGGCAAUGGAGGACCGAACCCACAUCCGUUGAAAAGGGUGGGGAUGAGGUGUGGAUAGGGGAGAAAUUCCAAUCGAACCCGGAGAUAGCUGGUUCUCCCCGAAAUAGUUUUAGGACUAGCCUCAAGUUAGAUACCUGGAGGUAAAGCACUGAAUAGCCUAGCGGCCGAGAGGUUAGCGAAGCUUAUCAAACUCAGAAUGCCAGAGUAUUGAUGCUUGGGAGUCAGACAGUGUCAGAUAAAUGUCAUUGUCAAAAGGGAAACAGCCCAGAUCUACAGCUAAGGUCCCAAAGUCAGGUUAAGUGGAAAACGAUGUGAAGAUACGCAGACAACCAGGAUGUUGGCUCAGAAGCAGCCACUCAUUCAAAGAGUGCGUAAUAGCUCACUGGUCGAGCGUCUUUGCGCGGAGAAUUUAACGGGGCUAAACCUGACACCGAAGCUUAGGCAAUGCACGUAAGUGUAUUGGGUAGGGGAGCGUUGUAUACGCGGAGAAACAGUAGCGCAAGCGGCUGUGGAGUGUAUAGAAGUGAGAAUGCCGGAAUGAGUAGCGCGAAUGCAGUGAGAAUCUGCAUGGCCGAAAGCCUCAGGUUUCUGGAGGAAGGUUCGUCCGCUCCAAGUUAGUCGGGAGCUAAGGUGAGGCCGAAAGGCGUAGCCGAUGCACAGACGGUAGAGAUUCCGUCACCACCAAAAGAGUUAAGCACAGGGACACAUAUGAAGUCUCAGAGCCGGGUGUUGGUUCCGGUAGAGAUCGAGGGAAAUUAGUACCGAAGUCUGAGAUGGAAGAUGGCGAGAAAAGCUGUGUGUAUUUCUGAGGUGCCCGUACCGCAAACCGACACAGGUAGGUAGGAAGAAGAUUCUAAGGCCAACGGGAGAAGGGUUGUUAAGGAACUCGGCAAAUUGACCCCGUAACUUCGGGAGAAGGGGUGCUCCAGAGAUGGAGCCGCAGAGAAUCGGCCCAAGCAACUGUUUACCAAAAACACAGGUUUGUGCUAAAUCGAAAGAUGACGUAUACGAGCUGACGCCUGCCCGGUGCUGGAAGGUUAAGAGGAGAUGUGCAAGCAUUGAAUCGAAGCCCCAGUGAACGGCGGCCGUAACUAUAACGGUCCUAAGGUAGCGAAAUUCCUUGUCAGGUAAGUUCUGACCCGCAUGAAAGGCGUAAUGAUUUGGGCACUGUCUCAACAGCCCGCCCGGCGAAAUUGUAGUACCGGUGAAGAUGCCGGUUACCCGCGACAAGACGGAAAGACCCCAUGGAGCUUUACUGUAGCCUAAUAUUGGGUUUCGAUGUUGCAUGCACAGGAUAGAUGGGACUCUUGGAAACCAAGGCUUUGGCUUUGGCGGAGAGGCCGUUGGGAUACCAUCCUUGCGAUAUUGGAAUUCUAACCUGCGGCUCUGAAUCGAGUCGGGGGACAUUGUUAGGUGGGCAGUUUGACUGGGGCGGUCGCCUCCUAAAGAGUAACGGAGGCGUUCAAAGGUUCGCUCAGCUUGAACGGAAAUCAAGCAAAAGAGUGCAAACGCAGAAGCGAGCCUAACUGCGAGACUGACGGGUCGAGCAGUAACGAAAGUUGGAGUUAGUGAUCCGGUGGUAUGUGAGUGGAAAUGCCAUCGCUCAACGGAUAAAAGUUACCCUGGGGAUAACAGGCUGAUCUCCCCCAAGAGUCCACAUCGACGGGGAGGUUUGGCACCUCGAUGUCGGCUCAUCGCAUCCUGGGGCUGUAUUCGGUCCCAAGGGUUUGGCUGUUCGCCAAUUAAAGCGGUACGCGAGCUGGGUUCAGAACGUCGUGAGACAGUUCGGUCCCUAUCUGUCGUGGGCGCAGGAUAUUUGAUGGGAGCUGUCCCUAGUACGAGAGGACCGGGACGGACGUACCUCUGGCGCACCAGUUGUUCCGCCAGGAGCAUAGCUGGGCAACUACGUACGGAUCGGAUAAACGCUGAAAGCAUCUAAGCGUGAAGCCGACCCAAAGAUAAGAUAUCCCAUUGU